AGGGUUUGAUUCUGGCUCAGAACGAACGUUAGCGGUGUGAUUUAGGCAUGCAAGUCGCGCGUGAAAGCAGCAAUGCAAGUAAAGCGGCGAAAGGGUGAGUAACACGUAACCAACCUAUCCCAAAGAUCGGAAUAACCACUGGAAACGGUGGCUAAUGCUGGAUGUUCCUGGCGGAUGGCAUCAUCUGCCCGGCAAACGGUGGCGCAAGCUGCUGCUCAGGGAGGGGGUUGCGGGCUAUCAGCUAGUUGGUGGGGUAACGGCCUACCAAGGCGAUGACGGCUACCAGGUCUGAGAGGACGGACUGGCACACUGGGACUGAGACACUGCCCAGACUCCUACGGGAGGCUGCAGUCGUGAAUUUUCCGCAAUGGGCGAAAGCCUGACGGAGCGACACCGCGUGCAGGAUGAAGGCCUUCGGGUUGUAAACUGCUGUCAGGUUCUAGGAACGAACGGGUGUGAACAGCACUCGGAAUGACUAAGACCAAAGGAAGCAGCGGCUAACUCUGUGCCAGCAGCCGCGGUAAUACAGAGGUUGCAAACGUUGUUCGGAAUUACUGGGCAUAAAGCGCACGUAGGUGGUCUGCUAAGUCGGGCGUGAAAUCCCUCGGCUCAACCGAGGAAUUGCGUCCGAUACUGGCAGGCUCGAGGUUCGGAGAGGUAACUGGAACUCCUGGUGGAGCGGUGAAAUGCGUAGAUAUCAGGAGGAACACCGGUGGCGAAAGCGAGUUACUGGCCGAAAUCUGACACUGAGGUGCGAAAGCUAGGGUAGCAAACGGGAUUAGAUACCCCGGUAGUCCUGGCCGUAAACGAUGAACACUAGGUGUCGGGGGAAUCGACCCCCUCGGUGUCGUAGCCAACGCGUUAAGUGUUCCGCCUGGGGAGUACGCACGCAAGUGUGAAACUCAAAGGAAUUGACG
rnacentral:rRNA from 1 species